rnacentral:rRNA from 1 species
CCUACGGGGGGCAGCAGUGGGGAAUAUUGCACAAUGGGGGGAACCCUGAUGCAGCGACGCCGCGUGAAGGAAGAAGGUCUUCGGAUCGUAAACUUCUAUCAGCAGGGAAGAAGGAAGUGACGGUACCUGACUAAGAAGCCCCGGCUAACUACGUGCCAGCAGCCGCGGUAAUACGUAGGGGGCAAGCGUUAUCCGGAAUCACUGGGUGUAAAGGGUGCGUAGGCGGUAGGGCAAGUGAGAUGUGAAAGCCCGGAGCUCAACUCCGGGAUUGCAUUUGAAACUGUUUUACUAGAGUGCAGGUGCGGGAAGCGGUAUUACCAAGUUAACGGUGAAAUGCGUUGAGAUUAGGAAGAACACCCGGGGGGAAAGCGGGCUUUUGGGCCGUAACUAACGCCGAGGGACGAAAGCGUGGGGAGCGAACAGGAUUAGAUACCCCAGUAGUC